rnacentral:misc_RNA from 1 species
CCCCCCACCCCCACCACUAUUCAAAAACAAAGCUUCAUGCCUGUACAAUUGGUGGGUUUUUUGUUUCUGUAUCAUCCUAACCAGAGACAUAAAUGACAGAAAUUGGCAACUGAUCCUUAUUUAUGUCUCUGUCCUAACUUUGUAUUCUGUUGAUAUAAAUAAAAUUUGUAUCUAGAUGCAUAUAGAAUGAAAAUUAUGCAAUAAAAUUGUAAACAUUUAUUCAAAUUUCUCUACAUUUUUGGAAUUCGUAGAAAGCUGUAGAGGAAUGCUCUAUUUAAUUCCUGACAUAUCUAGGUAAACUUUGAUAAAUGUCUUCAUUUUAUACAAAAGCUGUGAUACCUGUAGACAUUUCAACAAAACUCUCGGGUAGCCAAACCCUGUAUUAAUUUAUAACAAAGCAUGUUAAUGCAGGAGGCAUUCCAAUCCUGUAUGUCUGAAAUCUGGCUUACGAGGUCAGGGUAAAAGCUACAAUCUUCUUAACAGCAAGUCAGAGAAAAUUCUGACGGUAAUACCAAUCAAUAUGGCUAAAGAUUUUGUACUCUCUUAUGUCAUUCAUUCUCAUGCCUUGUAUACGAGACAAAAUAAAUAAAAGAUUUGAUCUUAU